AUGCCCAAUUCUCUCCUGCUCCUCCUCCUCCUCGUCCUCCGCGCAGUCACCGGAGACGCCGCCGCCGAUUCGGCAGACCCCUGCGCGGGCCGCAGGAUCCACAUCCGGGACUUGCCCCCGCGCUUCAACACGCACCUCUUUCGCCACUGCGACGCCGCCUUCCCGCUCGCCGACCCGUCCUCGUCGGCCACCUCCACGCCGACCUGCGAGUCGCUCGCCAACCACGGGCUCGGCCCGCGCACCCACGCCCGCAGCUGCUCCUGGUACCGCACGGACGCGCGCCUCCUCGAGCCCUUCUUCCACCGCCGACUCCUCGAGCGCCGCUGCCUCGUCGCCGACCCUGGCCUCGCCGACGCCGUCUUCCUCCCGUACUACGCGGCGCUCGACUCUAUCCCCUACGUGCUCGACCCCUCGCUCCUCAACUCCUCCGCGCUUCACGGCGCGUCCCUUGCCCAGUUCCUGGCGCGCGACCGGCCCCAGAUCCUGGCGCGUCGGCAUGGGCACGACCAUUUCAUGGUCCUCGGCGGGUCCGCGUGGGACCACUCGCAGCCGCCGCGCGCGGAGCCCCGGCUGCUGGGCACCACGUCGCUGGUCAGGCUGCCGGAGUUCGAGAACUUCACGUUCCUGGCGCUCGAGUCGCGCUCGUGGCCGUGGCAGGAGCACGCGAUCCCGCACCCGACGUCUUUCCACCCGGCUUCGCUCCCGCGGCUGGAGGCCUGGCUUGCGCGCGCGCGGCGCUCCCGCCGCACCACGCUGAUGCUCUUCGCCGGCGGCGUCUCGCGCCCGUCCAGGCCCAACAUCCGGGGCUCCAUCCUCGCCGAGUGCGCGAACCGCACUGACGCGUGCGUCGUCGUGGACUGCUCGGCCGGCAAGUGCUCCCACGACCCCGUCCGGUACAUGCGCCCGAUGCUGGGUGCCAAGUUCUGCCUGGAGCCGCCGGGGGACACGCCGACGCGGCGGUCCACGUUCGACGCCAUACUCGCCGGGUGCGUGCCGGUGUUCUUCGAGGACGCCGCGGCGAGGCGGCAGUACGGCUGGCACCUUCCCCCCGGGCGGUACGACGAGUUCUCCGUGUACAUACAGAAGGAGACGGUGGUGCUCGGGGGCGUGAAGAUCGCCGAGACGCUGGCGGCCGUGCCCGAGGCGGAGGUGCGGAGGAUGCGGGAGCGCGCGCUGGAGAUGGCGCCCAGGGUGCUGUACCGGAGGCACGGGAGCACCGCAGAGCUGAGAGAGGCGGGCAAGGACGCGGUGGACCUCGCCGUGGACGGCGCGCUCCGGAGGAUACGCAGGCGGGCUCGCGCGCUGGAGGAAGGCCAGCCGGAGAGGAUAUACGCGCAGGAGGACGACAGUGUCGACGCGUAG
rnacentral:rRNA from 1 species